rnacentral:rRNA from 1 species
AACGAACGCUGGCGGCAUGCUUAACACAUGCAAGUCGAACGCUUGUAGCAAUACGAGAGUGGCAGACGGGUGAGUAACGCGUGGGAACGUACCCCAAGGUUCGGAAUAACGAUUGGAAACGAUCGCUAAUACCGGCUAAGCACGAAAGUGGAAAGGUUUACCGCCUUGGGAGCGGCCCGCGUUAGAUUAGGUAGUUGGUGGGGUAAAGGCCUACCAAGCCUAGGAUCUAUAGCUGGUCUGAGAGGAUGAUCAGCCACACUGGGACGGAGACACGGCCCAGACUCCUACGGGAGGCAGCAGUGGGGAAUAUUGGACAAUGGGGGCAACCCUGAUCCAGCAAUGCCGCAUGAGUGAUGAAGGCCUUCGGGUUGUAAAGCUCUUUUACCUACGACGAUAAUGACGGUAGUAGGAGAAUAAGCCCCGGCUAACUUCGUGCCAGCCGCCGCCGUAA